rnacentral:tRNA from 3 species
GGGGGCGUGGCCAAGUGGUUAAGGCACCAGACUUUGACUCUAGUAUCGCAGGUUCAACUCCUGCCGCCCCUGCCA